rnacentral:rRNA from 1 species
AAUGUGGAAUUCGCCCUUUUCCGGUUGAUCCUGCCGGACCUGACUGCUAUCGGAUUGAUACUAAGCCAUGCGAGUCUUUGCAGUAAUGCAAGGCAGACGGCUCAGUAACACGUAGUCAACUUACCCUAUGGACGAGGAUAAUCUCGGGAAACUGAGCAUAAUACUCGAUAGAUCAUAAUGCCUGGAAUGGUUUAUGAUUAAAAUGAUUCGUCGCCAUAGGAUGGGACUGCGGCCUAUCAGCUUGUUGGUGAGGUAAUGGCCCACCAAGGCGAUUACAGGUACGGGCUCUGAGAGGAGAAGCCCGGAGAUGGGUACUGAGACAAGGACCCAGGCCCUAUGGGGCGCAGCAGGCGAGAAAACUUUGCAAUGUGCGAAAGCACGACAAGGUUAAUCCGAGUGAUUUCUGCUAAAGAAAUCUUUUGCAAGUCAUAAAACCACUAGUGAAUAAGGGGUGGGCAAGUUCUGGUGUCAGCCGCCGCGGUAAAACCAGCACCUCAAGUGGUCAGGAGGAUUAUUGGGCCUAAAGCAUCCGUAGCCGGCUCUGUAAGUUUUCGGUUAAAUCCAUGUGCUCAACGCAUGGGCUGCCGAAAAUACUGCAUAGCUAGGGAGUGGGAGAGGUAGACGGUACUCAGUAGGAAGGGGUAAAAUCCUUUGAUCUAUUGAUGACCACCUGUGGCGAAGGCGGUCUACCAGAACACGUUCGACGGUGAGGGAUGAAAGCUGGGGGAGCAAACCGGAUUAGAUACCCGGGUAGUCCCAGCUGUAAACGAUGCAGACUCGAUGAUGCAUUGGCAUAUAGCCAGUGCAGUGUCGCAGGGAAGCCGUUAAGUCUGCCGCCUGGGAAGUACGUACGCAAGUAUGAAACUUAAAGGAAUUGGCGGGGGAGCACCACAAGGGGUGAAGCCUGCGGUUCAAUUGGAUUCAACGCCGGA